CUAAAAUUGUUCCAAAUGAUUUUAUCUAUUUUCUCCUUUAAUCUAAUUUUUUUAUUCAUUUUAUAGUUUAUAAUAAUAUAGUAAUUAAAAAAAUCUAAGUAGAAUUACAUGUCUAUCUAUAUCUAUAUCUAUAUAUUAUACAAAGAAGAGCUUCAAGGAGAUGAAGUGACACUCUAAAAUUGCUCUAAAACACUCUAUCUAUUUUCUCUUUUAAUCUAAUAUUUUAUUCAUUUUAUAGUUUAUAUUAAUAUAGUAAUUAAAAAAAUGUAAGUAAUUACAUAUUUUUUAAAUUUAAAUAAGAUAUUUACAAGAUUUAUUAUUUACUCUAUCAAUUUUACACGUUUAAAAAACUAAAAUUGCUCCAAAGGACUUUAUCUAUUUUCUCAUUUACUCUAAUUUUUUUAUUCAUUUUAUAGCUUAUAAUAAUAUCGUAAUUUAAAAAAAAUGUAAGUAGUUACAUGUCUAUCUAUAUAUAUAUAUAUAUCUAUAUAUUAUAUAAAUGAGAGCUUUAAGGAGAUGAUGUGACACUCUAACAUUGCUCUAAAAUUGCUCCCACCAUGUGCAUCCCGGUUAAUGCCCAAGAUCUGGAGAAAAUCCCAGACACCUUCCGGGGGACGGUCUAUGAGAUCGCGAGCUAUACGGUGGAGCAUUAUUACAAGGCCAAUCCGAAGGACUUGAGGGAGAUCGAGGCGAGGAGCCCCGAGAGUGUCAUAGAGUCCGCGCUGGGGAUGAACCUCACGGCGGCUUUGGCCCUACACCGCAGUGUAGCUCGGUCCAGGGCCAGGAAUGACGAGCUCCAAACUGCUCAGGUCACUCUCGCAUCUGCUCAACAACAAGAGAAAAGUGCCAAGGCUGCCUUGACGGCUGUCCAAGAAGGCGAGCAGGCUGCGUAGGCUUCCUUGGCCACUGCGAAGGCUGAGCUCUCGGAGGCUAGGGCUAAGCAGCUGGAGGCCGAGGCCGCCAUCGAGGGAGAGAAGGUGUCCUCCAGCUCCUCCAUGGAGGCCAUGCUCUACCACUGCUGGGCCUUCAACCAGGACGGCGACUUCUCUUUCUUGGCCCUGAGGUGUGGGAGACUUAUCUCGAGAAGUUUAAGGCCCGUCUUCAACAGGAGCCACCUUCUGAGACUGGGGAGACCUCUGCUGCCGGCGAGCAAGAAACUGAGGGGGUGACCUCUUCGGGGCGUCCUGGGGAGUCCUAGUUUUAUUAUUUUAAAGAACCUCUUCCUCUUUUUUUUUUCUUUUUUCUUUUGUAACCUGCCAUUUUUGGCUUGACACGAGGUUAUUUUCCUCGAGACCAUUCGUCUGUACUUUUAAACAUCUAUUUUUCACUUAGUCCUUAAUUUCAAUUAUAUAUAUAUUUUUUAUA